CAGGCCCUUCUGGUCACAUGAAGCCUCUUAAACCUCAAACUCCUAGGGACCUGAAUGCAUUCCAAGAGGCUGACCCAGCAACACUGGAGCUCCAGCUGAGGGCCUGGCAGUCCCAGCCCUACUUUGCUGGGCAGAGGACACAGGCAUUUCCAAGGCACCCUGGACUCCUGCCAGUGAGUCCCCAGAUGCCAUGCAAGACACACCUGACCGAGACUUCCAGCCUCCAGAACUGCAAGACAGUGGAUUCCAAUGUUUAAACUACUCUCUCCUGUUUCAACAAUGGCUCCUGGAAAAUGGCAUAACUGUCAGGGGUACACCUUUUUAUCAGGCUCGAUGACCCCAUCAACUAACCCGAACUUCAGGAGACCACUCUGUGAGCCUUCUCUGUGCGGGUGGGCAUUUGAGAGUUUGUGAAUAUCCCAGACAAUGCAGCCACAUGCUACUGCCCCAUUCUCUCAGAAAAGGAAACAGAAACCCACUAGGUCAGAAGACUGUCAUGGGUCACCAGCAGGGACAAAGUCCAGACUGACCUCUCCGAGCGUUCCCCAUGCUAUCUUGAUCUCCGUGGGAGACUCCAGGCGCCUGUGUCAUGCCAGACCUCUCUAAGUAACCUGGAAUUCCUGUGCAAUCCCUACUCUCUUGGAGAACCCCAAAUCUUUGUGUCAUUCCCAACCUUCAGGAGAUCUAAUUCCCCAUGCUAUCCCUGAUUUUCUGAGAAACCUGGACUCCCUUGUUAUCAAUGAUCUCCUUGGAAACCAAGCCUCAUUCCUCCUUUGACCUUCUUAUUGAUCCCAGUUCCCAUACCAGAAGCAUCAGACCAUCAUGUUAUCUCUGACCCCAGCCCCCAAAUGAUAUUCGUUCUGUGUGGCUGUCCCUGCUUGUCCAAACUGUCCUCCAGGACCCUCCCCUCCACAAGCAGGAGUGCCAGGCUUCCAUUUCAAGGGAAUUGUGCUGAGCCGUUCUUUGACAGUUCUGUCACUCAGCCCCCAUCUGCUUUAAGCCCUGCAAAGCCAUCUGCACAGUUCCAGGCUCUGUGACAGGGUCACUGCCAUCACUAGUCUGCAGGGUGUCUGGAACUCCAACUUCCUUGUAGACUCUACACUGUAGAGAGAUGGGACAAGGAAGAAAUGUUCUUGGUCCCCCUAAGUAGGAAGCGCCUAGCUUUCCCACCUACUGUGACCAGGAAUGAGACUCAGGGAAUGAGCCUCACACCUCAACGAAGCCCAUGGAUGAAGGAAAUGACUCAUGAGACAAGGGAAACUAUUGAAGGCUUCCUGGAGGUGCCAUUGUGUAGCUGGAUUCACGAAGAGAAGUCUGCCAUACCAAAGAGGCAGAGUAUGACAAAGGCCAGAAAUCCCAGCAGCCCUGGGACUAGUCCAUUUGUGGAUUCGUUGCAUUGCUCCCCCAUAACUCGGUAGGCAUCUGAAAUGGGAGGUUGAAAAUGGGGACCCACAGAGAGAGGACUCCUGGGUCUGUGCAGAAGCCCACUCAGUUGUCAGAGCCACAGUGACACCUCACCUAGAAGGAACACCCGCGAGCAGAGGCUUUCUAGUGGGACCGUCUCCUCAAGAAAGAAGCGUGGAGUUCGGUCUGCAAAGUGCUCACGGAUUUGGAAAGCCCGAGGACCUAAGUUUGAGUCCCCAGAAUGCUCGCAUUUGCAAUUUUUAAAGCUGGGCGUGGUGAUGGGUUCAUAUAUUCCCAGUGCUGAGGAGGUAGAAACUGACAGAUGCCCAAGGCUCACUGUCCAGUUAGUCUAAGCUAUUCGGUGAGUACCAGGCCAACGAGAGAAUCUGUCUCAACAAAGAUAAAAGAAGCUGAGCAUAGUAGCUGCUACCUUUAACCCCUACACUCAGGAAGCAGAGGCAGGUGGAUCUCUGAGAGUUUGAGGCCAACCUGGUCUACACAGUGAGUUCCAAGCUAACCAGGGCUACCAAGUAAAACCUGGUCUCAGAAACAUAAAAAUUGUUUAAAGCACAAACAGUACCUGAGCAACAACAGAUGAGGUUGUACUAUGGCCUCCAUAUGCAUGUAAAUGCAUGUACACACACACACACACACACACACAGAGAGAGAGAGAGAAAGAGAGAGAGAGAGAGAGAGAGAGUCAUUGGAGAGAAAUUGGCAAUUGGCAACCAUUGGCAAGUGACUUCUUAGACUUCAGAGAGGAAAUUGGAACCCCAAGCCCAGUGAGCAUAUGACAUCCUGGGCAAUGAAGUGGCCCAAGAGAUGUUAUGGACCCAGAAAAGGGUAGAUGGUAAAGGUGACCAGCCCAGACAAAAGCAAGCAUAGUAUCACAGAGUACUGAGGGAGUACAUGGGGAAUAGCAUUAACUGCCCAGACCACAUGCCUGGAUCAUACAAAUCUGACUGACGAUUCCACGGAUGUCUCUGGGAAUGCACCUGGUGGCCUACAUCAACUCCAUUCGUGGGCAUCUGGAUGCUUCUAGGUGACCUGGGACACUUCCGUUUCAAAGCCAGCAGAGGAUGAGCCGCUCAGUGAGAAACCCAAGAAGAGGGAAGAAAACAUGUGGACACUGAGCAUGUUGCUAAGAGCCAUUGGUUGCUAAGAAAAGGCAGCCAGGUGGAGAGCUAAAACUACACCUGGACCUAUAGCGGAAUUGCAGUGCCGAGCCACUAGUGGUUACAAGUACCUUCUCAGUGGCCCAGAGGCACAGCUGCCUAGGACACCACCCCUGGUAGUGUUUAUUCUUCACAAUUCAUAUCUACUAACAGAUUAAUAAAAAUCUACUAAUGGUGUCAUAGAAAGGGCCAGCUGAGAGGUAUGUAGAGGCCAGAUGGCUGGCCCGAUCCCCCAGGCCCUGGGCCUGAGGCUUCAAGCCAGGCCUUGCAUCCCACCCCUUACACAAGUUCCUAGGUGACUGUGCUCCCUCUAGUCCUUAUUCUACUGUCUGGGGACUCUGCUGUCCACACAGGGCCCCACCCCUGCAGAGAAGCCUCUGGAUAGAGAGACACCCUCAAAUAGUGAUUGCUGGCUUGGGAGCAGCUCCAAAACACGAUUCCACUGCAUAAAGCGAGAAUACCGAGUAGACACGUCUCAAGCGUUCGGUCUGGAGGAGUAAUUUGCUCCAGUGGGGGAAUUUCCUUCUCUUCAUUUUUGGAAAUGCCAAGAAACAACAUUUUAAGUAUGAUCAGAUAGCCCAGUUCAGUGGCCUAGCACACUCACCCACCACACCUCAGAGAACAAGAGCCCAGGGUUCCCCGUGAAAGGAACCAAGCUCAGACUUCUCAAAACAUGAAACCAUUUAUUUUGGCUUCAGAAAAAAAAAAUCCCUUAUGUCACACAUAUACACACGCAUACAGCUUUCAGUUCAUCAUGUGUAUGUGUCCCAGAACCUCUUCUGUGUCACUCAUACGGGCCCAGGGGACAGACCCAGGCUGGGUGGAGGUGCCCGUCUCUGUUCGACACAGGGUAUGCCCCAGUCUUCACGUCGCGCCUGCCACAGCUGGUGAAUCACUUGGACUGUGCACUUUCCCAGUUACUGUAGUUCUAGAAGCUGACUGAAAAAACCAGUAGCAGCUGGCAGGAAAUGAGUGAGAAAACUGACCACAGAUAAAAUGCAAUGCUCUACAGGAGCGGCAGAUAGACUCCAGACCAGGAAGUUAUGCUAGCAGGACUCAAGGCUGAAAGGACACAGACCCCAACAGGACCCCAGAACCCGCUGUGGGGACUGGUGCUAUGACUUCACAGUGGGACCGGGCUCUAUCCAACGCGAGCACAUCCGGGCACAGCCAUAUCCACUGGAGGAGAAAGGGGACUUCAGAAAAGAUAAGCACCAAGCCGAGUCCUGGCCUCUGGGGUUCCCAGCAUCCCAAACAAAGACCAAAGCUACAAUGACCUGGAUAUGAUCUAACAGGCUGGGUUACCAUUACCUAUGAACUCUCUAAUGAGGGUCCCUGGAGGGGAAAAAGAAAAAAAGACCUGUUCUAGAGCUCAAGAAGUACAUGAGAAUGGUGACAAGUCCAGAGAGUCUGACCUUCCGGAUCUCUACAUCUUCUUGACAGACUCAGAUGGCACAGCUCUGUGUGAUACAAAACAUGAUCUCUGGGCAGCAGAACAGACCCUUCCCAUGUGUGGCCCUCCUUCAGACUUUCUGGCAUCGUUGAUGGGUCAGAUAAUCCUGUGUUGUCUCACAUUUCAGAAGAGCAAGCAUGGCCUGUAAGCCAGAUGUGUAAGCAGGGUGCUCCCUAUGCACUGGAUGCUAAUGGCCUCUCUUGAGCAAUGAGACAUUGGUUGCUAAGAAAAGGCAGCCAGGUAGAGAGCUAAAACUACACCUGGACCUACAGCAGAAUUGCAGUGCCGAGCCACUAGUGGUUACAAGUACCUUCUCAGUGGCCCAGAGGCACAGCUGCCUAGGACACCCUGGUAGUCCCUUUCCUGAUAGCAGCUACCUUUUUCACACCUAAAGUAGACCCAGGAGUUCUUCUGAGAGCUGCCACGGCAGGAAGUGACCAAGCUGUGAGCCACCAGCUUCACUGUGAUGUGCGCGCACUUUCCGAUGAGUUGCCAUGACAAGGGGCAGUAGCAGCUGCGCUUGAACUCGUGACUGGCUGCAGUCCCUUGGAAAGGGAAGGGGCACAUCUGGAAGGCGGGUCCAAGUGCCCAUGAGGCUCGGGGUGAGAUUCCUUUCCUGUGUGGAGAGGUUGCAGGGAACACCUGCCCUGUGAGCAGGUGGUCCCCUACGCUGGGCCCCUGGGCUAUUGCUUGGGUUAGCAAGACAUGCUUCAGCUGAGGCUGACUCACUCUCGUUCCUGGAACCGUCUGAAGGCGGGAGAGGAUGCUGUGGGUAGGCUCCAACUGUAUCAUCUGGGCUGGGGCCGGUAGCAGAUGGUCCUUAUUUAAAAAAAAAAAAGACAUGCUUCCAUGUGGCCUUAAAAUAGCACAGUUUUCACCAUCAGUCGAAUGGGGAAAUGUACGAGCUAGUUGUUCACAUGGGAGUGGGCAUUGUGGACUUGGAAGCAGGAAUGAGGGGCCUAGGCAUCAGCUGUGGCCAAAAGAGACUGUGGUGCCCACCUCAUGCUUGGCUUCACUUUGUCAGGUGGCUUACCAACCCAAGUGAAGCCCAUAGUAAUUUCAAAACCUCAGGAUCCUUCCAAACGCCUCCGUGAGCCUUGGAGAAGCCACAGACCUGAUACACAAGGCUGGACAUGGGGACAGCAGCACUUCCUACUGGCCUUUCAUAGGCAGCUGGGGAAACCCGUUCAUCACCCAGCAAGUGGGAAAGACAUGGAUACCCAACAAGGGGUCUGAAGAUAAUGCUGGCUGGCCCUGAGCUGAUCUCUGUACUUGAGUCUAGAGAAAUGUGGAAGCCAGCCUCUGGUUCUGCCCCAGAGAAGCUCUCGCGUCCGUCCCUCACAGUCUCUGUCUGUGGCAGGUUACUUCCUCUUUGAACCUCAGUUUCCUUAUCUGUCAGAUGGAGCAAACAUGGGGACCUGCCGUGGGAGAACCCCAGCACAAGCAGGUGCUCUACACAGGGAACCUGUCGUGGCCUGUUCUCUCUCUAAGGGAGAAGGGAACCCUUAGCCUUUCCUGUUACUUUAAAUGAUACCUCUAUCCAUACUUAAAUCUCAUUGUGUUUUGGCAGGUAGAAAUGUCAGCUCUGAGGUCCUUGGCCCUAUGCUACCCUCCCUGGGCUGCUGCUAUGUGGAUGUGGAGGGAAAGAAACAGAAGUUGCUGCAUCUUACUCCACCCUAAGAAAGGCUGUGGUGGGCAGCCUGGUCUCCUCCUGCUGUCCAAAACCUGAGAGCCCAGUAAAUAGUAGCCUAGGUCACCAUGGACUUUGAAAGACAGAAUACUUCCAGACACAUGGCAGAGAUGAGAGAGCUGCGAGGAAAACAGGGGCCCCCUGACAUCCAGUCGAGACAGGGGCUUGUCUGAGAUUUCCACUGAGCAAGCCCCAGACAUCUUAAAAAGUCUUGGAUGUAUGGCAUUCUAGUAGAUGUGCAACAAUCAGCUCCGGGAGGUAGGGAAAUUAGAAGUAGCUCUGGUUGUAGCUUGUGCCGAUUUGUAUGGUGUAAACAUCCCCCUGCCUUGGCCAAUUUCAUCACUAAAGGCAAAUUCAGGAAGAGCAAAGCAUAGUCUGCUGCCCUGAGCACCAAGUCUCACACUCAGAGCAUAUGAGAACAGAUGGCCCUUCCCACAAGAGUCUUUCUAUCUGCUCCGAAGAUCUAGAACAGACAGUGACCAGUAUCAGCAAGAAGGCAGAGGAGCAGAAGGGUUGUGGAGUGUUACAGGUUGGGUAUGGAAAGUCCCCCACAGAUGCACAUGUUUGAACACUUGCUCUCCGGUUGGUGGUGCUAUCUGGGAAGUUUCUGGAACCCUUUAAAGGUGAGGCUGUGGUGAUUUAAAUAGGAAUAGUCUUCUUGGGCUCCUAGUUGGGAGUACUUGGUUCUCAGAUGGUUUGGGGAGGAUUGGGAGGCGUGGCCUUGUUGGAGGAGGCGUGUCACUGGGGGGUGAACUCUGAGGUUUCAAAAGACUCCUAGUGUUCUUCCUCUGCCUUAUUGUUGUGGAUAAAAAUGUGAGUUGAUCUUCCUUCCUCCAUCGUAUAUUGUAGCCCUCUGAAACUGUAAGCCAAAGUAAAUGCAUGGUGUUUUAUCACAACAAGAGAAAAGUAACUAAAACAAGGGCCUAUGUGGAGGAAGUGGAUCUCUGGGGAGGUAGGCCUUGAGGUUUACAGUCCUGCCCAACUUCCUGUCCCCUCUCACCUUUGUAGUCCAAAAAGAUAUGAGCAUACAGCCAUGCGUUCCUGCAAGGAGGCUUUCUCUAUUAUGACAAACUCUUCCUUCAAAGUCUCAUCCCAA